CCCGACUGCUAUCGGAUUGAGAUUUAGCCAUGCGAGUCGAACGUUCCCCUGUUGCGGGGAGCGUGGCGUACGGCUCAGUAACACGUAGUCAACCUGCCCUAGAGACAUAGACAACCCCGGGAAACUGGGAUUAAUUCCUGAUAGGUCAUCUCAUCUGGAAGGAGAGAUGGCUUAAAGGGGUGCGAGAGCUUCUUUCUUGUACUCGCUUUAGGAUGGGACUGCGGCCGAUCAGGCUGUUGGUGGGGUAAUGGCCCACCAAACCUGUAACCGGUACGGGCCUUGAGAGAGGGGGCCCGGAGAUGGACACUGAGAGAAGGGUCCAGGUCCUACGGGGCGCAGCAGGCGCGAAACCUUCACAAUGCGCGAAAGCGUGAUGAGGUUAAUCCGAGUGGUCCCCGCUGAGGGGAUCUUUUGUCGGCUGUAAAAAGGCCGGCGAAUAAGGGGAGGGCAAGUCUGGUGU
rnacentral:rRNA from 1 species